rfam:TPA: Aspergillus nidulans FGSC A4 chromosome II
UUUACCCAGUGGUCUCAAGACCAAAGUGAGGAAGCUUAAAAGGCGGGUGAGCGGCGGGGUAACUGUGACUCGCUUUAAGACAGCCAAAUGCCUUGCCAUCUAGUCAGUGACGCGUAAUAAAUGG